CCCAUCACUUUCUUUGCCCUCAUGCCUACCUCCCUCUAUGUGCCUCCCCAGUGAUUUACAUGAUUGUCUCAUCUCUUCUCCAAUAGUAAGCGGCGAUCUAUUUCAUCUAAACAUUAUUUCUUCUCUACUAUCCUCCCAAUACCUUUUCUAGCCAUCUUUUCAAGACCUUAUUAUUUCUUGUUUUGUUAUAUAAAGCCUCUACCAUCUCUUUUACUAGCACGAGUCAUCUUUGUAUACAAAACAUGCAUGUAUACUACGAAUGCUCAUGCUGAAUGAUCACCAACCAACAUUUAAUUUCAUUGAAUUCCCAUGACACAAUACAAGAUUAUUUUAUGUAAAUAAGUUACUUAUGAGAUUG
rnacentral:lncRNA from 1 species